rnacentral:rRNA from 1 species
UGGGGAAUCUUAGACAAUGGGGGAAACCCUGAUCUAGCCAUGCCGCGUGAGUGACGAAGGCCCUAGGGUCGUAAAGCUCUUUCGCCAGGGAAGAUAAUGACGGUACCUGGUAAAGAAACCCCGGCUAACUCCGUGCCAGCAGCCGCGGUAAUACGGAGGGGGUUAGCGUUGUUCGGAAUUACUGGGCGUAAAGCGCACGUAGGCGGACUAUUAAGUCAGGGGUGAAAUCCCGGGGCUCAACCCCGGAACUGCCUUUGAUACUGGUAGUCUUGAGUUCGAGAGAGGUGAGUGGAAUUCCGAGUGUAGAGGUGAAAUUCGUAGAUAUUCGGAGGAACACCAGUGGCGAAGGCGGCUCACUGGCUCGAUACUGACGCUGAGGUGCGAAAGCGUGGGGAGCAAACAGGAUUAGAUACCCCCGUAGUCC